GCCAUGGUAGGCCAGUGGUAGAAUUCUCGAUUUCCACGCGGGGAGAAACAGGUUCGAUUCCUGUCUAAGGCA
rnacentral:tRNA from 1 species